ensembl:lncRNA
CUAAAUGAAUGUUUUCUUGAUGUUAACAUACAUUCUUCAUAUGUGGAACUUUGUCUUCGUGUUUUCAGAUGAGUGCAGUGAGCCGUCCCUCGUUCUCUGACAUCGUCUUCACAUUUGAGGGCAUGGACAGAGAAGAAGAGAGAAAGAAGCCCAUUGCACUCGAGGCAGUGGCAGCAGACGUCAGCCCGUACCGGUGCCACAGCUCUCCUUGUCACCCGGGUGACCGCAGCCAGCAACGGCAGGGCUUAGCGAGGAGCCAAUCGGACACGUUAUCCCCGGGCACCCAGACGCCUCUUCUCCUCGGGACCCCUGUGCGGGUCAACCCCUUCUCUCUCAGACAGGACCUGAAUGGGGGGCGGUGUAAACUCUUAGACACACCUAGCAAGUCCGUCAUCUCCCUGACAUUUACCCUCCCGGCGCUUCGCGACCCUUGCUCCUCCCCCCACCUUCUCCGAGGGAUGCCAGGGACGCGAGCGCUGCCGAGGAGGUGCCAGUCGCUCCCCUGUACUCCAGAGCUCAGCUGGACUGUAGCCUUGCCAAGAGACCCGGAGGGGAAGGAGGAGGAAAAGGAUGAAGAAGACAACAGAGUGGCGAUUACAAGAGGGACAGUGGAGGAUGUGGGGGACCACAUGAGGAAGAAGACAGGGGCGUCAGAGGAGGCAGAUGAGAGGUUACAGGUAGAGCAAAUGGAGAUAACUGCCAAGAGAGAGUUGUUAACGGAGGAGGAUGGGAUGGAAGAGGAUUCAUGUCUUUCUGUGGAGCUGGAGAUGGUGUCUCUGGAGCGGUUAGAGGAAGAGGAGGAAGAGGAGGCACAUCUAACAGAACCCAUGGACUGUACCAAGUCUCCUGAGCCAGCAGAGAGAGUCAUUGACUCCUCACCUGGAAGACCCCUGCUCACCUCCACUUGCUCCUCCUCCUUACAGACCAAUGGCUGGCGACUCCCCAUCUCCAACGGACCGCGCACAUUGCCUGCUCUGCCACGACUGGACAACAACAACGGCUCAGCCCUUGUGAUUGGUCAGCAGGUGCGGUGGGGUGGAGGAGAGCGUGCGAAUGGUUACAGCGGCUCCCAGCUCCAGUCCUCUGGCCCUAGCGGCACCUCUGAGCAGGAUGAGGUCAUUUCCUGUCCAGGCUGCUGUCUGGUGGGUCUGAGUUUCCCCUUUGUGUGCCUCCGGGGUUCAACUGCUGUGCCCGCCCCCCACCAAAGGGCUUCGUUACCACGGCGACUCUACCAGAACCUCAACGGUACCAUAACCGGUGGCAGCGCUUCCUCGUCAACCACAGCCGCCCCAGCAACCAAAGCUCUACUGUGUCGAAGCACAAAUGGACUCGUAGUGGGUGGGCCCUCGGUGCCAUGUGAGCCUGGCCGGUCCCUGCCGGAGGCCCAGAGAUAAGCCUGCUGACGGGGGAUGCACCAGCACUACAUUUUAGAGGACAAACUUAGUAACACUAAGGGCACUUUCACACCUGUAGUUCGGUAGACUCGGUGCAAUUCGGGGGUGAAGUUGCAACGUUGUUGCAUUUUUCAUUUGGUUCGGUUUGCGUUCAGACUGCACUUUGUCAGGCGCACCAAACGUUAACAAAUGUCACACGGUUGAAACGGUCGCUGGUCUAUUGGACAGAAUAUCAGAGUGACAGUGUUUUUUAAAUGGGGGUACUAGUACCCAUAGAGGUACUUUGGAGUACUGCAGAGGUAUGUGAGAUUUUUUUUAAAUGUUAAUAAAAUAUCAGUCAUGCCUAAUUCCUAAAAUAAUUAAACUAUAAUAAUGAAUUCUUUAAGUGGAACAUUCAGCAUUUGAAAUGUAGCAUUUAAGUGUUUUUUAGUUACAAGACACUGAUGGUUCAGCACUAUGUACCUCUUUAUUUAGGCCUUUUUCUACCAAAAUAGUUUGCACUGGUCAGGGGGUACUUGGCUAAAAAGAUAUUUCAAAGGAGGGUUGGGGGGGUCCAUUAUUGACAAAAGUUGGAGAACCACUGUUUUAGAAGAAGGCGAACAAUAUGAGCAGCUGACAGACAGCGAGGGAAGGAGAUGGCGGGCCCUGAUGAGAGAGAGAUGAUGAUGUGUUGUCACCCAGACGAUGAGCAAUAUGUGGUCAUAAUAAGUUAUGGAUUUGAAAUGUAUCUUAGCUUAAACCAUCUAUUUUAUUCUAUAUAUUUCAACUCUGCACACAAUUUAUGGAGUUCAUAAAUUGUGUGCAAAGUUGAAAUUGCAGGCUACUUUGUGCACUAUUUUUAGUUUACAUCCUACAUUUGGGUCAGAUAUCAUUCUCAGCUAAAGGGAACUGAACUCUAGUGCACUUGGAAGGGAACCGAGACCUCCUUCAAGCAGAACAAAGUUUUUGGUCAGCACCAAAGUUCCAACGGCCUUUCACACCAACCCAAACGAACCGGAUUAUCCAACGAAACGCUCCAGGGUUGGGUCAAAACGGACCAAACAGCUGAGGUGUAAAGUCACCCUAAAUGUUGCUUCGCAAAUACUGAGAACCCAAUACUGAGAACCCAAUACUGAGCCCAGCAUCUGUGUGUGUUAAUAAUUCUGUGCAGUCCCAGCAAACAGUGGUAGGUUGGUGGUUAAAGUGCCACCGCACUCAUGCGUAAAGGGUCAACUACAGAACAUUCCUGGAAUUUACACCAAUGUUGGGUAGAAAGAUGGCUGUGCAUAUUGCUGGUGUUUCCACUCUUACUUGGAAUUAUCAUUUUACAGACAUUAGACACACUUUUGUUUCUUCGUGAAAUGAAGCCAUGCUUUGGACCAUUUCUUCCUUUCCACCAUGACUCCCUCAGUGUAGUGGCAUAGAUGCAUGAGUUUGGCGUCAUUGUUUUGCAAUGGGCAACUGACAGAAAACAUUCCAGCCUUGAUAAAAGGAAUUGGAACCAGUUCUAGAUUCCCAUCCCUAGGCCCACUACUGAUGGACCACUGCACUGUUAAGCCCAGGUUUCAAUAUGGAGUUAACACAAACAUGGGAAGCACAGUGUGCAGGUCCAAACCAUAUUUAAAAUUGAUUCUAUUUAAUUAAUGGAACAAUAACUACAGAGGGAAUAUUUAUAUAAUAUAUCAAGAUGAUUUACUUCCUAAAUGUGUGUGUGUGUGUGUGUGUGUGUGUGUGUGUGUGUGUGUGUGUGUGUGUAAGCUGAUAUCUGUUGCUUGGGGGACUUAAAGGAAGAAACUCUUGGGCUUGUCAUGUAAAUUAUUUUGCACUUGCAGGAAGACACCAGGCUUUUAUUUAAUGGUGCUUUAUUUAAAUGUGUGUGUGUGUGUGUGUGUGUGUGUGUGUGUGUGUGUGUGUGUGUGUGUGUGUGUGUGUGUGUGUGUGUGUGUGUGUGUACUUCUGGCCCAACAAAUUAAACACCAUUCACCCUUUGAUCAUCUUGUGUGUGGAAAUGUGCAUUUUGAUCACACUGUUGUAACUUAAAAAUGGUAUGUGGAGCAGGUAUGCAUAUUUAUUGUACAGAAUACAGAUCAUUCCACACACUGUGUGUGUAUGUGCUUUUGAGCGAAGGGUAGAGUGAUGGAUACUUGCAGGAUAACCUUUAUCCCUUCAUUUCUGAUGUUAAACCAUGAUUUUUCGCUUCAUUUCUAUGUUUGUUCUUCUAUACAACUGCG